CCGCACGCCUUCAGGAUGACAUGCUGUGUACCAAUGGGAAGGAAGUUCUUGGAAAAUAAGGUCGCUAUGUGGGAAAAGUUGAAAGCACUGGUAUGGAGGAGUGGCUAAUGAUUUUCAAAAAGAAACACUAAUUAGGCAUGUAAAGCCUGCGGAAAAAACAUUUAAUGACAACUUAUAUGUGGAACAUGUGCAAAGUCUCUAGUAAUGUCAAGUGAAUAAAUAAAGAGCACACAAGAAAUUAAAUUAACAAGCUGGUUCAUCAUUGUUUGGUGAUGCUUUUAUCACAUUAUGAAAAUUUUCUUCUUUAGAGACUCUUAAUGAACAUUGCAAGAGACUGUAAUAUCCCUGUCAGAUGUGUUGUACACAGAGAAGUCAAGUUAAAAAAGUGACAGGAUACUAAUUAAUGAAUAAAAUAAGGCAAUGAAUGAUUCAGUAAAUGAAUUAACAAAUAUUUAAAACCAGAGUUAAGCCCUGAUGAACUAACCUGAAUACCUUGUCUACUGAAUUACCGUUUUUUGUUACUUUUAUUUUUGAAGUAUUGAGGUUUGUAAGAUCAUCUGGAGCUUUUUUCAUCACUGAAUAUUUGUGAUUGAUGCUGUCCUGUCCAACUCAUAACUUUAGCAUUUCUUGACUUUUGUCUACUGAUGUGGUCUUAAUAGAGGGCCAAAGCAUAUUCCUAGACACAAUUACCUGUAGAGGAUAGUGAAAACCCCCAAAGUUUUCUUCCUGCAGUUUCCUCUGGAUUCUGUGGAAGGCAGUCUUGAGCCAGAAAGAUGAUCCGAUUUCAGAUUGCCACACUCACUCCCCUUGUUUCCGUGCCACGGGGCUCUCACACAGGAUAUUGGUGCUCCCCUCCCAACACUCCAAAACAUUCAGUGAGCCAAACUCAGUAAUUUCAGCUGCUGCUAUCACCCAAGCCAGCAGUAUAAAGAUACUUUUUUUGCAGUUGCUUGUGGCUACUUUCAUACAGAAUAACAUUUUCCUAAGUUAUGCUUAGUGAUAAUUGUGUUUCUCACAGCGCCGUUCUUCCACCCAUAGAAAAUACGCUCUUGCAUUAUAACAUACAAGUUACGUACAUUUACUUGUCAAUACAAGUUAAUACAAGAAAAGAAGUAAAAUGGCAUUUAUUGUUUAAAUGUUAAAAGCCUCAACAACAUUUUCUCAUGAUAAAACCAUGUUAGGUGCGCUGUCGGGCAUUUGUUGGGCAGUAGAUUUAUAUUUCAAAUUAAAUUUUAAUUUCUCCUUUUUCCUUCAAUUUUUAUUGAAAUGAUCUUCCAUUGUAUCUCCUUUUUUAUCAUUCGUCUUUUGCUUGCGCAUCUUUUUGGCAUGUGAAUAUGUUAUUAACUUGAUAAGUGAUUUGGCAGGAGAAGAUUCCAACUGCAUUUCAUAAGCUGAGCAGUGUUGGGCACUGGUGAUCUAAACAUCCACUGCAUGUACAGCUUUCCUUUAGCUUUGGAUGUGCAUGGACAGUGUGUGCAAAAUAAUGUGUGUCUGCCUCCCCAUGAGAUAGCCUUUGAUAAUAGCAGUGUUUUCACAUGUAAUUGUACUAGCAAAGCCUGGGCCAAAGUAGCUUGUAGCUGCUAUCCCUGACUGAUGAGAUUUGACCUUUCUGCGAUCCUGCUAAAUCUUAUUCAAACAAAGUAUGUCACUAUAGAAAAUUAUGUUUGUUGAAUCUUGAUUCAGUUCCAUUGUAACAAAGAGGACAUCUCAUAAUUUGAAGUUAGGUCUCGUCUGUUUAGGGGCUCUACUCAAAGCCACUUGAGGGUCUCUUACUUUUGAUUCGGUUCUGGCUUUAGCCCCAGCAUUCAUGGCAAGCUUUUCUUCAACAAGUUUUACAGAUUAACGAUAAGCCUCCUUUUGUCUUGGUGGAGAACAGCAAACUCAACUUCCGGCUUGUGAUAGGCACGCUUUUUGAUUGAUUUUUAAAAUUUUGUCUUGCAUCCGACUUCCGGGAUAUUUCUAGUCUUGCUUGUGUUUAAUCACUGUUUUGUCACUGUUUGGAUUAUCAAAGACAUUAUGGGAGGAACGUGUACAGUUUGUAGCAUACAGAAAUUUCUAUUUCAGAAUAUUCAAAAUCAUGAAACCUACAGCCUUGUGCAGUGCUACUUCUGUCUUGCUCCAUUUUGGUGUAAAAACACUAAGAAAUUCUGUAGUUCGUCCAUCUACCAGCAGAGGUGGAGAUCCUGUUGUCCAUCUCACUGCAACAUCUUGUACUUGUGCAUCUAUAUCUACUGUGAUUAACAGCCCUUCAAAUGGCCUCUUCAUAUUCAUGUAUUUGUUUUUCUUCUGUUAGAAGAUACGUUGCACUACGUAUGUUUUUACCUCACUGAGCAUGUUUGUGACAGUACAGGAGAUUGCCCUUUGUCAGAUUCAUUGCUCCCCUUCCCUUUUUCUCUAGUAGCAUUCAAAAGUGGUAUCAGUGUGCACAUGCUGCACAUACUGAGUCUAUGGUAUUUUUUGUUCCCUCAAGAUUUUGGUGCAGAUCAGUGCCUAGCUCUUCUCAAGGCAUAUAAAUUGCUUAUCCUCCAAACGCAUUCCGAAGGAUGUCCGCUAGCAUCUUUGCGUUGCCACUUAUUCCACAGAGUGAGACCUUGAUGUCACACAUCUGAGAGAAAUAUGCGGUAAAGGAUCAGGAGAGAUAUAAACACUCAGAAGAAAAGAUGCCUACUUAACCAGAGGAAAACAGAUGUCAGCAGAGCAAAUUAACAUCUCUGAGGAUGAGUUCAGACUGCCAUCUGGAGGAUUUAGGACUGAUAAAUCUGGCUGAAGGGCUAGAAAUUUAGCCUACUUGGUAGGUUUAGCUGGACACAUUCCAUUGAACAGUAGUCAAAGCAUUGAUUGCCAGUAUCUUACCCAGUGAACUUUCACUGAGUUUAGUUUGCAAACUCUUGGCCUGAUUUCUGCAGAUAAUGUCUCUGACAGACCUGAGUACUUGCAGAAUGGUUUCAAUGAAUAAUUUUCUAUCCACAAGCUGUUCACAAACUUCCCUUCAGUUUGUUUAUGAUCUGUGACUGGUCACUUCAUUUACACAGGAUUUGUUGUUGUUGUUGUUUUGGCUGUAUUUUUUGCCCUUUGUUUGGAAGACCAUAACUUUUUGAA